UCUGGUUGCUUGAAUGGCUGGUCGGUUGAAUGGCUGGAUGGUUGUAAAGCUGGUUGGUUGAAUGGCUGGUUGGUUGUAAAGCUGGUUGGUUGAAUGGCUGGUUGGUUGUAUAUCUGGUUGGCUGUAUAGUUGGUUGGUUACAUCAAUUGCUGGUUGGUUGUGUGAAUAUUAAUAUUCUUUUAUCUAGGAUUCUGGAAGUUCUAAUCCUGAAGCUGAGCUAAGGGAUAAUGAUCCUUCCAAACCUGCGGAGUUCCACAUAGUUCAGGAUUCUGGAAGUCCUUCUGGAAGUCCUGAUUAUCAACCUGAGCCUGUUGAGGAUUCUGGAAGUUCUGAAUAUGAACCUGAGCCUGUUAAGGCACGCAAAGCGAAGAAGUUGGGCAAGAAGAGAAUUUUGGUCACCCCAGACAGUAAAAAAAUCAAUUCAAUCCUUGCUGGGGAACUUAAUCUAUCCCCAUUUGACCACUUGACAAGAAGAUUAAAAAAUGAGUAUAAAGAGUUGCUAAGAUUGAAGUUUGCCAAAGAUUUCGAGUCAAUCCCCCCAAGGAGACCAAAAAUGGCGGAUGCUAGAAAAGUGCUUGAAAUGACAACACUGAAUUGGGAUUUAGUUCUUUCAAACAAA